CAGGGAUCCAGAUUGUGGACUUAAGAAAAAAACUAAAAUCGGCAUACAUUGACACUUGUUUUUAACCCUGGAUUUCUAACCCCUUAAUGUUCUUGUUGGAUCUAAUUUUAAUAUCUAGCAUUUCAAUGACCAUAAUAAAUAGAUAUGGCGACAACGGACAACCUUGUUUUACUCCUCUUAAAAGCUCAAUACUUUCUGAGACUAUUUUACACCUGGGGUUGCUGUACAUAACUUUAACCCAUUGUAUAAGAGAUUCACUGAUAUUAAAGUAGUCCAGGCAUUUAUAUAUACAUUUUAGACUUACUUUAUCAAAUGCCUUUUCGAAAUCUGCUAUGAAGACCAGGCCUGGUAUCUUUGAUGUUUCAUAAUGCUCAAUUGUUUCAAGUAAUUGUCUAAUAAUAUCUCCAAUAUAUUGUCAAUGUAAAAAACCUGUCUGAUCAGGAUGAACAAUAUCUGGUAAAAACCUGUUUUGUUCUAUGUGCUUUUCAUCUCGCCAGGAUUUUCACAUCACAACAUUGAAGCAUUAGAGGUCUCCAGUUGUUUAAAUGGACUGGAUCUUUAUACCUUACCACAAGGGUCCUGUUUCAGUAGUAAUGAAAUCAGACCUUGUUGAGUACCUGAAAGUCUGCCAUUUUUAUAGGAGUAAUUAAAACAUGCUAAUAAUGGAUAUUUGAGUACAUCAAAAAAGGUCUGAUAUACCUCUACUGGUAUACUGUCAAGCCCUGGUGUUUUUCCAGACUGAAAAUAUUUAAUCUUUCUGUACAUUUGUUAAUUCUACAUUAUUAUUAGGAAAUAAAUCCUUACAGUUAAAAUCAUUCAGUGGAGACUGAAUAAAUGAUACGCUUAAAAUAUUUAGCUUCCUAUUUCAAAGUAUAGUAUAAUUUGGUGAAUCAUGGAUGACUCCAACAUUUGUAACGAGUUUCUGUAAACUCUUUUUCAUAGCAUUUUGAUGUUGAAGAUAAAAAAAUAAUUUUGUGCAUUUUUCAUCAUUUACCAUCCAAUUCGCUUUUAAGUCCCCCCAAUUCCUUUUGUUUUUCCUAUAACCUAUUUUGUGCCUCUAUAGUAGUUACCAUUACUAUCUCCCUGCUGUUAUUUCCUAUAACCUACAGUAUGUUGUGCCUCUAAUUUGCUUUUGUUUUAAUGAUGAGUAUUGUAUUGAAUGGCCUCUAAAAGUACAUUUGAAAGUGUCCCAUACAAUGAGGGGAUGUGCUGUACAUAUGUUGUGCAGAAAAAAGUCAAUUAUAAAUAAUGUUGUCUUCGUUAAAAACAGGUUGUUAAAAACAGGAUAUUAAGCCUCCUCCAUGUAUAUCUCACUAGGUCAGGAUAUUAAACCUCCUCCAUGUAUAUCUCACUAGGUCAGGAUAUUAAACUUCUGUGUAUAUCUCACUAGGUCAGGAUAUUAAACCUUUAUGUAUAUCUCACUAGGUCGGGAUAUUAAACCUCCUCCGUGUAUAUCUCACUAGGUCAGGACAUUAAACCUCCU
rnacentral:lncRNA from 1 species